GUCGCAAAACAGCUCGUGGCAGCGCCAAGAUCAGGUUACCGGCCGCAAUCGCUGCUGGACGUCAUGCACCGUCAGACCAGGCGACCACGUUGGAGUCACAAACAAUGGCAGUCAAGAUUAGGCUUGUUCUGUGCACCUAUGUGACAUAUUUACCGACAGCCAAUGAGUGUUCAGUAAUGUUCUCAGCAAUCUGCGAUGAAUAUCACGGCCAGUGCAAGCAUAAUACAUGAUCACGGUACACAUCUGCAGUCCUGGUACACACUGAAAUGCCACAGUACCGUAAAAUGCCACUACAGCAGUCAAAAUAAAGUUUCACAGCUUACUGAUAAAGUUGGGAAAUUUACUUUCAGCUACACCAGCAGCAUGAUAUGGUACUGUGGUGAGGGGUGACAUUCCAUACCAAAAAGAAACUUGAGCUAGCUAGUUUGGUUUGAGUGCAGUCACUUGUGCUGAACUGACUCGUUACAGGGGGCUGGACACACAGAGCCAGAGUGAUGCAGCAGUAGCAGGCCCAUGUGCUAUUGUCAAUUCACAAUGUACAUGAUGUCAAAAGUGCCAACAUAGUUUGCACAAAGACAAUCUUUGUUGGAAACAGGUGCACUCAUGGAUUGUAAAGCACUGAACUUACAGCACAACAUGAUAAAUCACAUUAUAGAGCUCAAUGGCACAGUUCUUUUGAUGUAUAGAUUGACU